GACGAACGCUGGCGGCGCGCUUAACACAUGCAAGUCGAACGGUAAGGCCCUUCGGGGUACACGAGUGGCGAACGGGUGAGUAACACGUGGGUGAUCUGCCCUGCACUUUGGGAUAAGCCUGGGAAACUGGGUCUAAUACCGGAUAGGACCACGGCCUGCAUGGAUUGUGGUGGAAAGCUUUUGCGGUGUGGGAUGGGCCCGCGGCCUAUCAGCUUGUUGGUGGGGUGAUGGCCUACCAAGGCGACGACGGGUAGCCGGCCUGCGAGGGUGUCCGGCCACACUGGGACUGAGAUACGGCCCAGACUCCUACGGGAGGCAGAAGUGGGGAAUCUUGCACAAUGGGCGCAAGGCUGGUGCAGCGACGCCGCGUGGGGGAUGACGGCCUUCGGGUUGUAAACCUCUUUCGGUAUCGGCGAAGCUCCCGGGUUUUCUUGGGGGUGACGGUAGGUACAGAAGAAGCACCGGCCAACUACGUGCCAGCAGCCGCCGUAA
rnacentral:rRNA from 1 species